rnacentral:RNase_P_RNA from 1 species
UUUUGGGUAAUCGCGGUUAGUAUAUUGCUAGCUGAGGAAAGUCCAUGCUCACAUUCGCUGAAAUGCGAAUAGUGUUCGUGCUUGACCUAAUAAGUCAAGGUACAUAAUUAAUGUAACGGCGGAUCGACUAGCUAAGGAAUUUUUAUAUUCUAUGUUAGCUUCCAUAAAGUGCCACAGAGACGAGUUAUAAAGAAAUUUAUAAGUGGAACGGGUAAACCCCACGAGUGAGCAACCCAAACUACGGUAGGGGCAUGUUGAUCGAGGAAUCAAACUUAGGUCAAUAUCGUUAAAGCGAAGACAGAUGGUUACCGAAAAAAAUAUUCCGCUGAAAUAUUUUUGGAACAGAACAUGGCUUAUAG